CAAAGAGAAAGUGUUGGAAUUCAAGGAUUUGAUCAAGUAAAGGUGGUGAGCAAAUUACACUAGUAAAAAUACAUAGAUUGUACUUGAAGACUGGGAUUAGGAGUACAUCGACUCUUAGAACUGCUCAGGAAAUUCCAUAGUUAGCUGACUUUGACAAGAAC